GUGCCAGCCGCCGCGGUAAUACGGAGGGGGUUAGCGUUGUUCGGAAUUACUGGGCGUAAAGCGCGCGUAGGCGGAUUGGAAAGUUGGGGGUGAAAUCCCGGGGCUCAACCCCGGAACUGCCUCCAAAACUUCCAGUCUGGAGUUCGAGAGAGGUGAGUGGAAUUCCGAGUGUAGAGGUGAAAUUCGUAGAUAUUCGGAGGAACACCAGUGGCGAAGGCGGCUCACUGGCUCGAUACUGACGCUGAGGUGCGAGAGUGUGGGGAGCAAACAGGAUUAGAUACCCUGGUAGUCCACACCGUAAACGAUGAAUGCCAGUCGUCGGCAAGCAUGCUUGUCGGUGACACACCUAACGGAUUAAGCAUUCCGCCUGGGGAGUACGGUCGCAAGAUUAAAACUCAAAUGAAUUGACGGGG
rnacentral:rRNA from 1 species